CCGGCAGUGCCGGAGCGAAGGUGUUAAGCGGGCCGCUUGGGGAGUACGGCCGCAAGGCUGAAACUUAAAGGAAUUGGCGGGGGAGCACUGCAACGGGAGGAGCGUGCGGUUUAAUUGGAUUCAACGCCGGAAAACUCACCGGGGGCGACCGGCAUAUGUGGGCCAGGCUGACGACCUUGCCCGAAUAAGAGCCGGAGAGGUGGUGCAUGGCCAUCGUCAGCUCGUACCGUAGGGCGUUCACUUAAGUGUGAUAACGAGCGAGACCCCCAUCCCCAGUUGCCACCUGUCCCUCCGGGGGCAGAGCACACUGGGGAGACCGCCGGCGCUAAGCCGGAGGAAGGUGGGGUCAACGGUAGGUCAGUACGCCCCGAAUCCCCCGGGCUACACGCGCGCUACAAAGGGCGGGACAAUGGGAUGCGACCCCGAAAGGGGGAGCUAAUCCCGAAACCCGUCCGUAGUUCAGAUACGAGGGCUGUAAUUCGCCCUUCGUGAAGCUGGAUUCCGUAGUAAUGAGCGGGU
rnacentral:rRNA from 1 species